GUGCUCACUUUGGCAGCACAUACACUAAAAUUGAAACGAUACAGAGAAGAUUAGCAUGGCCCCUAUGCAAGGAUGACACACAAAUUUGUGAAACGUUCCAUAUUUUU
rnacentral:snRNA from 1 species